GAUGAACGCUGGCGGCGUGCUUAACACAUGCAAGUCGAGCGAAGCACUUAAGUUCGAUUCUUCGGAUAAAGACUUUUGUGACUGAGCGGCGGACGGGUGAGUAACGCGUGGGUAACCUGCCUCAUACAGGGGGAUAACAGUUAGAAAUGGCUGCUAAUACCGCAUAAGACCACAGUACUGCAUGGUACAGUGGUAAAAACUCCGGUGGUAUGAGAUGGACCCGCGUCUGAUUAGGUAGGUGGUGAGGUAACGGCCCACCAAGCCGAAGAACAGUAGCCCACCUGAGAGGGAGACCGGCCACAAUGGGACUGAGACACGGCCCAGAAUCCUACGGGAGGCAGGAGUGGGGAAUAUUGCACAAUUGGCGAAAGCCUGAUGCAAGGACGCCGCGUGAAGGAUGAAGUAUUUCGGUAUGUAAACUUCUAUCAGCAGGGAAGAAAAUGACGGUACCUGACUAAGAAGCCCCGGCUAACUACGUGCCAGCAGCCGCGGUAA
rnacentral:rRNA from 1 species